rnacentral:rRNA from 1 species
GUCUAUGGCCAUGCCACCCUGAACAAGCCCGAUCUGUCUGAUCUUGGAAGCUAAGCAGGGUCAGGCCUGGGUAGCACUUGGAUGGGAGACCACCUAGGAAGACCAGGUGCUGUAGGCG